rnacentral:rRNA from 1 species
UACGGGGGGGGCAAGCGUUGUUCGGAAUUACUGGGCGUAAAGGGCUCGUAGGCGGCCAACUAAGUCAUACGUGAAAUCCCUCGGCUUAACCGGGGAACUGCGUCUGAUACUGGAUGGCUUGAGUUCGGGAGAGGGAUGCGGAAUUCCAGGUGUAGCGGUGAAAUGCGUAGAUAUCGGGAGGAACACCGGUGGCGAAGGCGGCCCCCUGGUUGGAUACUGACGCUGAGACGCGAAAGCCAGGGGAGCGAACGGG